UGCAGAAAGUGAGCUGAAUAAUCUGUUCAUCCGCAAAACCAGCCAGAAGCUCUUCAAAUAAUGCAGGAGAAUUGAAUGUCCGCAGAGUAAACCAUGACAAAAUCCCACAAAGCCAAGAAGUCCUGAUGCUUCCCAUUGGUCCUGCUCUCUCUGGGGAAAUGAAGCCGUAUCUGAGUCCCGCUGGCCGAGCCAUGCAGUGAGUGACCUUUGAAGACACGCAGAUCUGGGGAAAAACCUUCGCUGGUGGAUCCACAGGCUUCUUCCCACGGGAAUCUGACACUUCAACUUUCAUCUCCAGCAUCUCUUCCAAUACACUUAACCGGUGCGUGUACUGUGACUCCAUAUAACCUUGUUACCACGCGCGAGAGUCUAACAAACCUAUUAAAGCUCAUCUUAAUUGGUUCUAAUUCAAUAUAUCAAA
rnacentral:lncRNA from 1 species